rnacentral:rRNA from 1 species
CCUACGGUGGGCAGCAGUGAGGAAUAUUGGUCAAUGGGCUUACGCCUGAACCAGCCAAGUCGCGUGAGGGAAGACUGCCCUAUGGGUUGUAAACCUCUUUUGUCAGGGAGCAACGCCGGCUACGUGUAGCCGGACUGAGAGUACCUGAAGAAAAAGCAUCGGCUAACUCCGUUCCAGCAGCCGCGGUAAUACGGAGGAUGUGAGCGUUAUCCGGAUUUAUUGGGGUUAAGGGGUGCUAAGGGGGAAUGCCAAGUCAGCGGUAAAAGCUCGGGGCUCAACCUCGCUCCGCCGUUGAAACUGGCGUUCUUGAGUGGGCGAGAAGUAUGCGGAAUGCGUGGUGUAGCGGUGAAAUGCAUAGAUAUCACGCAGAACUCCGAUUGCGAAGGCAGCAUACCGGCGCCCAACUGACGCUGAAGCACGAAAGCGUGGGUAUCGAACAGGAUUAGAUACCCUUGUAGUC